rnacentral:lncRNA from 1 species
GCCGGCGGGUGGCUGGGCGGGGCGCUUUCGGGCCUCCCCUUUUCACGCGGAGCAUUCGUAGCCUUAGAGUCCGCGCCGCGGGGAGCUCUGGAGGUGAGCGCUGCCCGCGAGCCGAAGCAGCCGCCCGAGGAGGAGUUGUGGGCACCAAGGAACCAGCUAUCAUCAUGAUAAAAGUCUGUUAAGGCUAUUGCCAAAUCAACCGGUGAUUUCCAUGAAGUUCCACUCAGCUCAACUAGCUUGGUAACCACUGAUGUUCAAGUGUCUUAGUUUUCCCACGGUUUGUCUUGAGCCUUCCUGCAUAGCAGGUAAGUGAUAGCAGGGCAUUUACAAGGAGACUGUUAACAUCAGAAGCUCUUAAUGGUUUCCAGUCAUCAAUACAUAUAUGUCACUUUGCCUAAAGGACCAAGGCCUGAUUGACUUGGCACCAAGUGUAUAUUAAAAUGUAAAUUAAAAAUUAAUUUGUAUUAUAGCAUCCAAAAUAACAAACUGCAUCUAUAACCUGAUGCUUCUAUUUUUGAGCUUAUAAAGAUCAGCUGCUUAGAUAACCAAAUGCCUAUACAGGAAUGUGUUCUCUGGGGAUUCAAACAUAAGCUCUUUAAGUUUGAUAAUCAUGUUGAUGUGGGUCCAUCUUAUUGGUGAGCCAGAAGGUUAUUCAAUAAGUAGACUUCUGUAAAGUAACUUACCUAGCAAUAGUAGAUUCAUAAUUGAGUAUCUUGCUGGCAGUCUUUCUCAGUUUAUGUGUAUAGAUUGUCUUCUAUACUUUGCCUC